rnacentral:rRNA from 1 species
UCAGGCCUAACACAUGCAAGUCGAACGAUGAAGCCGGAGCUUGCUCCGGUGGAUUAGUGGCGAACGGGUGAGUAACACGUGAGCAAUCUGCCCUUGACUCUGGGAUAACUGCGGGAAACUGUAGCUAAUACCGGAUACGAGGCCUGGAGGCAUCUCCGGGUCUGGAAAGAAUUUCGGUCAAGGAUGAGCUCGCGGCCUAUCAGCUAGUCGGUGAGGUAAUGGCUCACCAAGGCGACGACGGGUAGCCGGCCUGAGGGGGUGGCCGGCCACACUGGGACUGAGACACGGCCCAGACUCCUACGGGAGGCAGCAGUGG